CGGCGCGCCUAACACAUGCAAGUCGCACGAGAAAGGAAGCAAUCCCCAGUACAGUGGCGCACGGGUGAGUAACACGUAGAUGACCUUCCCUGGAGUGGUGGAUAACCUGCCGAAAGGCGGGCUAAUACAGCAUGGGACCACAUGGUUUUGACCGAGUGGUGAAAGCGGGCCUCUGUUCACAAGCUCGCGCUCUGGGAUGGGUCUGCGUCCCAUCAGCUAGUUGGUGAGGUAAUGGCUCACCAAGGCAUCGACGGGUAGCUGGUCUGAGAGGAUGACCAGCCACACUGGAACUGAGACACGGCCCAGACUCCUACGGGAGGCAGCAGUGGGGAAUAUUGGACAAUGGGCGCAAGCCUGAUCCAGCAAUGCCGCGUGUGUGAAGAAGGCCUGCGGGUUGUAAAGCACUUUCAGUGGGGAAGAACAGAUUCGGGUCAAUACCCCGGAGCCCUGACGUUACCCACAGAAGAAGCACCGGCUAACUCCGUG
rnacentral:rRNA from 1 species